UACGGGGGGAGCAAGCGUUGUUCGGAUUUACUGGGCGUAAAGGGCGCGUAGGCGGCCUCUGCAAGUCAGUUGUGAAAUCUCCGGGCUUAACUCGGAAAGGUCAACUGACACUGCAGGGCUAGAGUGCGGAAGGGGCAACUGGAAUUCUCGGUGUAGCGGUGAAAUGCGUAGAUAUCGAGAGGAACACCUGCGGCGAAGGCGGGUUGCUGGGCCGACACUGACGCUGAAGCGCGAAAGCCAGGGGAGCGAACGGG
rnacentral:rRNA from 1 species